rnacentral:rRNA from 1 species
AACGUAGGUGGCGAGCGUUAUCCGGAUUUACUGGGCGUAAAGGGUGUGCAGGCGGGCUGUUAAGUGGUGUAUGAAAUAUCCCGGCUCAACCGGGAAGGGUUAUGCCAGACUGGCAGUCUAGAGAGCGAGAGAGGGAUGUGGAAUUCCGGGUGUAGUGGUGAAAUGCGUAGAGAUCCGGAGGAACCCCAGAGGCGAAGGCGGCGCCCUAGCUCGGUUCUGACGCUCAGACACGAAAGCGUGGGGAGCGAACAGG